rnacentral:rRNA from 1 species
UGACCUCGGAUCAGACGUGAAUACCCGCUGAACUUAAGCAUAUCACUAAGCGGAGGAAAAGAAACUAACAAGGAUUCCCUUAGUAACUGCGAGUGAACAGGGAAUAGCCCAGCACCGAAGCCUGUGGUCAUUUGAUCACUAGGCAAUGUGGUGUUUAGGUUAUCUCGCAGAAGCACUGCUCCACCCUAAGUCCAAAAAUGAGUACGGUAGUACGGACAUGGCCCAUAGAGGGUGAAAGGCCCGUGGGGGUGGAGAUCAGGCAGGCCAGUGCUUCUCUGAGCAAACCUUUGAGUCGGGUUGUUUGAGAUUGCAGCCCAAAGUGGGUGGUAAACUCCAUCCAAGGCUAAAUACGUGCACGAGUCCGAUAGCGAACAAGUACCGUGAGGGAACGUUGAAAAGUACUUUGAAGAGAGAGUAAACAGUGCGUGAAACCGCUCAGAGGUAAACGGGUGGAGUUGAACUGCGAACCCUGAGAAUUCAACUGGUGAGUGUGGUAUGAGCUUGGCAUAAUGGUUGGCUCUGCGGGUCUGCUUAGUUGCAGGUCUUCGCCUUUUGGUGGAGAUGCGCGAUACACUUGUCAAGUGGUGCGCGCUCGUUGGGUAACUCGGACAUACUCGCCAGUGCACUUUCUCGGGGUGUUCACCACGACCGGCGCCGCUACUUGUCUAAUAUGGUUAAACCGGUCUUGCUUGGUCCUUGUGGCUUUGCUUGAUCGGGACGGCAGGUAACUCGUUGACUUGUGUGUUGGCCUCGGUUGACAUGCGCUUGGUUUUCGAGUGUAAUCAGCUGACCGUGUUGGUGCUAUGUAGUGCGUCGGAGACGGCGGCUUGUGGUGUGUGCCUGCGUGACUAUUUGCUGACGGAACCGGGUUUGGUUAUUAUGUAGCCUGUUCUGCAGGCCUGGUGAUGGCCCGGUUUCGCUUGGUGAAUGGGAGCGUGUGUGACACUUAUCAGGGCCUAUAGUCUGUGGUGUUGUGGUAGACUAUCCACCUGACCCGUCUUGAAACACGGACCAAGGAGAGUAACAUAUGCGCGAGUCAUGGGGUGUUACGAAACCCAAAGGCGAAGUGAAAGUAAAGACUUGACUUGUUCGAGUUGAGGUGAGAUCCUGUCGUUUCUCAUGCGCGGUACUUCCAAGCACUCGAGCGACAGGCGCAUCACCGGCCCGUCCCAUGGUGUGGUCAAUGUCUUCGGAUUGGUGCAUCACCGGGGGGAGCAUGAGCGUACAUGUUGAGACCCGAAAGAUGGUGAACUAUGCUUGCGCAGGUUGAAGCCAGAGGAAACUCUGGUGGAGGACCGUAGCGAUUCUGACGUGCAAAUCGAUCGUCAAACGUGAGUAUAGGGGCGAAAGACUAAUCGAACCAUC